rnacentral:rRNA from 1 species
CCUACGGGGCGCAGCAGUGGGGGAUAUUGCACAAUGGGGGGAACCCUGAUGCAGCGACGCCGCGUGGGUGAAGAAGCGCCUCGGCGCGUAAAGCCCUGUCAGCAGGGAAGAAAAUGACGGUACCUGAAGAAGAAGCCCCGGCUAACUACGUGCCAGCAGCCGCGGGAAUACGUAGGGGGCAAGCGUUAUCCGGAUUUACUGGGUGUAAAGGGGGCGCAGACGGCGUUGCAAGCAAGGAGUGAAAGCCCGGGGCCCAACCCCGGGACUGCUCUUGGAACUGCGUGGCUGGAGUGCAGGAGGGGCAGGCGGAAUUCCUGGUGUAGCGGUGAAAUGCGUAGAUAUCAGGAGGAACACCGGUGGCGAAGGCGGCCUGCUGGACUGCAACUGACGUUGAGGCCCGAAAGCGUGGGGAGCAAACAGGAUUAGAUACCCCGGUAGUC